UACGAAGGGGGCUAGCGUUGCUCGGAAUCAUUGGGCGUAAAGCGCACGUAGGCGGCUUUCUAAGUCAGGGGUGAAAUCCUGGAGCUCAACUCCAGAACUGCCUUUGAUACUGGAGAGCUUGAGUCCGGGAGAGGUGAGUGGAACUCCGAGUGUAGAGGUGAAAUUCGUAGAUAUUCGGAAGAACACCAGUGGCGAAGGCGGCUCACUGGCCCGGUACUGACGCUGAUGUGCGAAAGCGUGGGGAGCAAACAGG
rnacentral:rRNA from 1 species